rnacentral:misc_RNA from 1 species
GGGAUUCCUCACACACACAAAAAAAGCUCUGCCGCUCUCUCUCUUGAAGGAGUUUUCUUCUCAUACUUUCGACAAUGGCUUUACCAAACCAACAAACUGUAGAUUAUCCAAGCUUCAAGCUUGUUAUUGUGGGGGAUGGAGGAACUGGGAAGACAACUUUUGUCAAAAGGCAUCUCACUGGUGAAUUCGAGAAAAAAUACGAACCCACUAUUGGUGUGGAGGUUCAUCCACUAGACUUCUUCACAAAUUGUGGGAAAAUUCGCUUUUAUUGCUGGGAUACAGCCGGACAAGAGAAGUUUGGAGGUCUCAGAGAUGGUUACUACAUUCAUGGGCAAUGUGCAAUUAUCAUGUUUGAUGUUACAGCCCGUCUGACCUACAAGAAUGUUCCUACUUGGCAUAGAGAUCUUUGCAGGGUUUGUGAAAACAUCCCCAUUGUUCUCUGUGGAAACAAAGUUGAUGUCAAGAACAGGCAGGUUAAGGCAAAGCAAGUUACCUUCCACAGGAAGAAAAAUUUGCAGUACUAUGAGAUCUCGGCAAAGAGUAACUAUAACUUUGAGAAGCCUUUUCUGUACCUUGCCAGAAAGCUUGCUGGGGAUGGUAAUCUUCACUUUGUGGAGUCACCUGCACUUGCUCCCCCAGAAGUACACAUCGACUUAGCUGCACAGGCACUGCAUGAAGAAGAGCUUCAACAAGCCGCCAAUCAGCCACUUCCAGAUGACGAUGACGAAGCAUUUGAAUAGAAGGCAUAGCUCAGAGCGGAUCAGUUUCACUGUUGCACCUUUCAAUUUCCUUGUCCUUAAACUUUCUAUAUUCGGACUUCUGUUUUUGUGGUUUGAGGAUUUAUUUGCUGCUUCCUUGUAUUAUUGAUUGGUUAUUAGAUAUGUUUGUCUGGGGCAAAUGAGGCUGUGUUUUGUUAGGUUAGAUAUUCUGAUCUUGAUGUAGGUGUUGAGGCUCUGUUCUGAGCUUGUUAUAAUAUUACUUACUUGGUCGCAUAUUCGGCAAUUUUUU